AGUUUCCCAAAGAUCUGACUGAGCUGAAAAUGGACCAUGCUCACCAAGACCACUGAGACAAGGUCUCACUUGAAGCAAGGUCUUCACAUUCCAAAGGUCAGUAGUUCAUGCUGUGAGAAUACAAGAAAAAGCAGAAAGGAUGGUGACAAGGAAAGACCAAGGGACAUCCCUGCCUCCUGACUCCUCCUAAAGCAGCACCUGCCUCUGGUGCAAACUGUAGCACCCACCUGCCCCCUCACUGACAGAAGCUCAACUGCAAGUCCAUCUUUUGAAGGCCUCCCUUCCCUGCUGGGCUUCCUUGCAACACACCUAGGAAUUGAAAUGUGCUCCCUUUUCUGUCUCUCUGCUGUGCUAUGUCAUCGUCAUCUCCACUAGUUCUUGGUGCCUGGCAAGAGGUGGCAGCCAUAGGAUGUUUUCUAAAUGAAGGAGCAAAUCAAUGAAGACGUGCCGAGGUGCCUACAUCUCCACCUCUGGUCCGUCUCAUUGCAGGCUGUAAUCGGGAGGUGAAGGAGAUUGAAUGGAAGGCAUCUACCAGCAUCAGUUUGGUUCUGACUUGGGUUUCUGCCCUGUUCAUGGCACAGAGUCCCCACCCCAAACUCUAGUUUUAGUAGAUGGCUAUCAAUUCUCUUGUGCCUAAAUUCCUGCCUUGUCAACCUAGCUGCGCUGUUAGCCCCCCAAGAGAGGAGCCCAGCAGGUUCUUGACAGCAGAAUUUGUCUUGCCUGUAUUUUGUCCACUUUAUGCAUCUUUGAGUCCAGACCUGUCAUGAGCUGUACUCUUUAAUCUCAGACACCUUGGCCAUUUUUCAGAGUGACUAAAUAGUGCCUGCUGCCAGGUCCCUGUUUUCAAGCUCCAUGGCCCAUCAGGAAAGACCAUGAUCCCUCUCUGACCUCCCUUGUGAUAGCUGUAUGCAAUAUUUCUAGCUGCUGCUUGUCACUGUUUGGUCAGGAUGUUCCCUCCACUUAACCAUUGCUGCCCCUGAAUUCUUUCCUAACACUUACCCCAAUUCAUGGGCCACCUCAGGGAACAUAGCUAGUUCAACUUCCUGGCACCUGUUAAAAAGUUUCUUGAGAUGGAGUCUUGCUGUGUUGCCCAGGCUGAUCUCAAAAUCCUGGGCUCAAAGGAUCCUCCUGUCCCAGCCUCCAGAAUAGCUGGGAUUACAGGCGCAUGCCACCGUGCCUGGCUUGCAGGCACCUUUAACCAUGCAAGCCCACAGCUAUCAUUCUUCAAUCUGGUCAAGUCAUUAGAUACAACAAAUGUAAUCAAACAAAACACAUGGAGGAGAAAAUAAAAUAACUUACUGGUAUAAAGAAAAACAGCAGGCUGCAGCUACGUGGCUUCAGAAAAAUCUGGUUAUAAGGCGUGUCACAGAGCGUAUGAGCAUGUGUGUGUAUGUGUGUGUAACCUGAUAGAUUUAUCUGCAAAUACUUUUGUUUUUUAGUUGUUCACUUGGCUUUCUAGGAGAAAAACUUAAGCUUUGCCACCACACUGUCAUAGGUCAAUGAAUAUCGAUUAUUGAAUAUUGAUGCUUACUAAAGAGUAAAGCACGUGCUAAGUACUAGGGAUAACAAUUCCUAUCCUUUCACAGUUGAACUCCUACUAUGUGCCAGGCGGUACUCUGGCUCAGGACCCAUUCUUGAAUGUUUUUACCCAAGAUUAACACUGGAGGCUCCCUCUUUUCUAGGAAGUGAGUGGGAGGGCCAGGUCAAUUCCUUGAAAAGCUCCAGGCAAUGAAAAGGUUACUGUGGCCCUUUCCCAUCCUAAUACAAUUCAAACCCAAAUAACACUAAACUAAAUAGAAGGAAGUCCAGA
rnacentral:lncRNA from 1 species